UACCAGCACCCCGAGUGGUCGGGACGUUUAUUGGGCCUAAAGCAUCCGUAGCCGGUUCUGCAAGUCUUCCGUUAAAUCCACCUGCUUAACAGAUGGGCCGCGGAAGAUACUAUAGAGCUAGGAGGCGGGAGAGGCAAGCGGUACUCGAUGGGUAGGGGUAAAAUCCGUCGAUCCAUUGAAGACCACCAGUGGCGAAGGCGGCUUGCCAGAACGCGCUCGACGGUGAGGGAUGAAAGCUGGGGGAGCAAACCGG
rnacentral:rRNA from 1 species